rnacentral:rRNA from 1 species
AGCCGCGGGAACACCGGCGGCCCGAGUGGUGAUCGUGAUUAUUGGGUCUAAAGGGUCCGUAGCCGGUUUGGUCAGUCCUCCGGGAAAUCUGAUAGCUCAACUAUUAGGCUUUCGGGGGAUACUGCCAGACUUGGAACCGGGAGAGGUAAGAGGUACUACAGGGGUAGGAGUGAAAUCUUGUAAUCCCUGUGGGACCACCUGUGGCGAAGGCGUCUUACCAGAACGGGUUCGACGGUGAGGGACGAAAGCUGGGGGCACGAACCGGAUUAGAUACCCGGGUAGUCCCAGCCGUAAACGAUGCUCGCUAGGUGUCAGGCAUGGCGCGACCGUGUCUGGUGCCGCAGGGAAGCCGUGAAGCGAGCCACCUGGGAAGUACGGCCGCAAGGCUGAAACUUAAAGGAAUUGGCGGGGGAGCACAACAACGGGUGGAGCCCUGCGGUUUAAUUGGACUCAACGCCGGACAACUCACCGGGGGCGACAGCAAUAUGUAGGCCAAGCUGAAGACUUUGCCUGAAUCGCUGAGGAGUGGUGCAUGG